rnacentral:lncRNA from 1 species
UAGUAGCAAAAUUUGGCUCGCGAAGCGAGCCAACAGUCACUCGCGGGGCGAGUGACUGGGGGUCCAGGGGGCGAAGCCACCGGCUAGCGGCGCAAGCGAGCGUAGCGAGCUGAAGCAGCUAGUACAUGUAACUCAUCUUAUUUAAUGAUAACGUCUUCAUCACAUCAAAAGUAACAGAUUACUCUUUCCGUCCGAUUGACGUAAAGAUAUGGUCGGCUGGUGAACAGUUAGACAAAUUGAGUGUUAUGACGUUGACGAUGCGUGGACGAUGGAAACUCUUUACUUUUUAUAAAUUAAGUUUACUUUAAUACCUACCCCAUAGAAUGUUUUACUAUCAGAGGAAAUGAUUCGGAAUUCACUUGAAUCUUGGUCUUUUUUAUUAAUAUUAGGUGGUGAUUCCUAGACCGAGGCAGAACUAUAAUGUUGAAUGUUGUGAUUACUCUCUAUAAGAUUGAUACAAUGCACAUUACUUUUUGCGUUAUAGUCCUUUUUCAAAUUAUCAUGUUAAAUUUUCACGUUCUGGCAACCCCUAAAACUGCAAGAACACCAAGACCACCAAAAAAAUCCCCGGCCGAAAUCAAGGAGAGGUUGCUCGAGUUCAACAUCGUCCCUGAUAUCAUACCCUCUGUUGGUUGUCCUAGACAUGAAAUCCAGGUAGUCUGGCCUAAAGCAAGAGCUAAACUUGGGAAUCCUAUUCCAUCAGUAUACACAAUGACACAGCCUGAAGUUUCUUGGGCUGCAAGGCAAGGGCAAUACUACACUUUACUUAUGGUUGAUCCAGACAGAGAUAAAGGUACGCAAUUUAAGGAUCAUGAUUCCAAUGUUGGUUGA